CACUCAUUUAUUAAAUGAAAGAAAUUGGACCUUAAUAAUAAACUUACAAGACAGUUCUUUACAUUUAAAUCUGCGACUCCCUAGUACACCAAAACAUAGAUAGAAUUAUAGGAGACUAAGAAAACUAUUUGCAAGUACACCCCAUGAGGAUUCAGGCUCGUAACAUCGAGCCCAAGGAAAAUAGGUUAGACAAUAGGGUGCAAAUUGGAGGUGCAAUGAAGACGAACGAAGGGGAAGAAUAAAUGGGAAGACAGAGGGAGAAGAAGAGCAGAAAUCGCGAAUCUAGGGUUAGGGUUGGGGACCAUUGCGAUGACCAGAUCGAUGCAAGGGACCCCUCAAUGAUUCUUCCAAAGCCUUUGCCUCCUAAAGAGAGCGUGGUCCUAGAGAAAAGCAAUGGUAGGAUCGGCUUUUGGUUUGGUGGGGAUGACUUGCCUCCAAAUGUGGUUUCGAGACUUUUGGCUAGCUACUUGGUGUGGGGAUGCUGGAUAUGCACAGUUUGAAGUCAAUAGGGAUAAUGAUAAGUAUGUUGUGGACCUCAAUCAGAGAACAUGUGCUUGCAUAAGAAGGGAUCUUUCUGGGAUAUCAUGUGCACAUGCAGACAUGCAAUGGCUUGCAUGUGACACAAUCACCAUGUGUUAGAAAACUAUGUUGAUGCUGCCUAGAGGUAUUCUCAAAGAGACUAAUCCUUUAUAAUUUUUCAAUCCUUUUAUGUUUUCCACUGCAAACUAAUCCUGCUCUAACUUGUAAGAGGCAUACAUUUAUAGACACUUAUUCUCAUAUCAUCAUGCCAAAUAAUAGACCAAAGCUGUGGCCAGAGGUUGAUGCAAUACCACUUAAUCCCCCUUAUGUGAGAAGAGCUCCAUGGAGGCCCAAAAAGGUUUUACAACCUGAAUGGAGAACAGCUGCUACAGGCCCUACUAAGGAUGCAUUUGGUGGUGGAAGCUCAAGUCAGGGUGCCAAUGUGGCUGACUCUUCAUCUCAACCAACAAGACCCCCUCCAAGACAUCUUAGGAGAACAACCACUGCCCAACCAAGGAGGAACUCACUCAAAUACCAACUCAGGAAGCAACUGGAACUUCAAGCCAACUAGCACCAAGGAGGGGCAAUAAGAGGAGCAUACACCAAAUUAAUGGAACCCAGUAGUUGAUGUUAUUAGGGCUUGAUGUUAUAAGGACUCAUGUUUUAAUCAAUUAAUGUUAUUAGGACCACUUUUGUAUUGUGCUGUAUAGCCAACUUGGCUUAUUUUAGUACUGUUGUCAUUAUGGCUUACUUUGGGAUGUAUUAAAGCCAUGAUGGCUACUUUUGGUACUCUAGCAUUUGGGAUGUAUUAAAGCCAUGAUAGGUUAACUUAGCUUAUUUUGGUACUGUUGGGAAGUGGUGAACUUUUGCAAACAUUGGUACUCUUAAGUUAAUUGAUUUG